rnacentral:rRNA from 1 species
AAUAAGUCUCUGGUGAAAUCCUGUAGCUUAACUGUGGGAAUUGCUGGAGAUACUAUUAGACUUGAGACCGGGAGAGGUUAGAGGUACUCCCAGGGUAGAGGUGAAAUUCUGUAAUCCUGGGAGGACCGCCUGUUGCGAAGGCGUCUAACUGGAACGGUUCUGACGGUGAGGGACGAAAGUUAGGGGCGCGAACCGGAUUAGAUACCCGGGUAGUCCUAACUGUAAACGAUGCGGACUUGGUGUUGGGGUGGCUUUGAGCUGCUCCAGUGCCGAAGGGAAGCUGUUAAGUCCGCCGCCUGGGAAGUACGGUCGCAAGACUGAAACUUAAAGGAAUCGGCGGGGGAGCACCACAACGCGUGGAGCCUGCGGUUUAAUUGGAUUCAACGCCGGACAUCCCACCAGAGGCGACAGCUGUAUGAUAGCCAGGUUGAUGACUUUGCUUGACUAGCUGAGAAGAGGUGCAUGG